rnacentral:rRNA from 1 species
UACGUAGGGGGCAAGCGUUGUCCGGAAUCAUUGGGCGUAAAGCGCGCGUAGGCGGCUUUUCAAGUCGAGUGUGAAAGCCCCGGGCUUAACCCGGGAAUGGCGCUCGAUACUGUUGAGCUAGAGUGUGGAAGGGGCUACUGGAAUUCCGUGUGUAGCGGUGAAAUGCGUAGAUAUACGGAGGAACACCAGCGGCGAAGGCGGGUAGCUGGGCCGACACUGACGCUGAUGCGCGAAAGCGUGGGGAGCAAACAGG